rfam:Hyphomicrobium denitrificans ATCC 51888, complete genome.
GGAGAGGUGGCAGAGUGGUCGAUCGCGCCGCACUCGAAAUGCGGAGUACUCGCAAGGGUACCGGGGGUUCGAAUCCCUCCCUCUCCG